rnacentral:sRNA from 1 species
UUUUUUUUGCUAAAGAACCUAAACUUUUCAAACGCUCAUCAAAGUGGUUAGAGAUCAAAUUUAAGUUUGAUGUAAAUGUGAGUUACGUUUACGUAAUUUUUGUACCUAAACUU